ensembl:misc_RNA
UAAAAAGUACCCUGGAGACUGAAGUCCUUUGUUUAUCUGCAGAGAAGGUACAGCCCAUGCAGCAGCGGAGAAAGCCCCACUUCUGCCCUAGCUUUUCCUUGCCAAUAUGCCUCACCUCUGCCCUGGAGGGACUCCUCUGGUGUGAGAGGGGAGUUCAGUUUCCAUAGCGUAUUUCAUCCUUGGCCUCU